rnacentral:rRNA from 1 species
AGUGAACGCUGGCGGUAGGCCUAACACAUGCAAGUCGAACGGCAGCACAGUAAGAGCUUGCUCUUACGGGUGGCGAGUGGCGGACGGGUGAGGAAUACAUCGGAAUCUACUUUUUCGUGGGGGAUAACGUAGGGAAACUUACGCUAAUACCGCAUACGACCUACGGGUGAAAGCAGGGGAUCUUCGGACCUUGCGCGAUUGAAUGAGCCGAUGUCGGAUUAGCUAGUUGGCGGGGUAAAGGCCCACCAAGGCGACGAUCCGUAGCUGGUCUGAGGGGAUGAUCAGCCACACUGGAACUGAGACACGGUCCAGACUCCUACGGGAGGCAGCAGUGGGGAAUAUUGGACAAUGGGCGCAAGCCUGAUCCAGCCAUACCGCGUGGGUGAAGAAAGCCUUCGGGUUGUAAAGCCCUUUUGUUGGGAAAGAAAAGCAGCAGGUUAAUACCCCGCUGUUCUGACGGUACCCAAAGAAUAAGCACCGGCUAACUUCGUG